rnacentral:misc_RNA from 1 species
CUCGUGCACGCGCUCCGGCACACACGCCAAACCCCUUCCCCGCUUCGCUUGCUUUUUUUCUUUUCGGUGUGUCAACGCCGUUCAGCACCUACCUAUCUUUUUCUCCGACAGUGCGACAUUCUCCGUGCACGGCUUCUCUCCACUUGCCAUCGCGUGUGCGUGUCGAGUCGCGAGCACCACUUGACUGCAGCAACCUUGCCGAGUGCUGCAUCCAUCUGUGCGCACGCAGCCCCUUCACCUUCAUCUGGUGAGCUUCCGCGCGUCCGCGGACACACGCUGGCGCCCACGUCACCAUGGAGACAGUUCGCGGAUUCUGGGAUUGGGUAAACGACUACCCGCGCAACUUCAAGUCCGAGCACGGCCGCGACUUCCUCGAUAGCUACCCCGACUAUCCAGUGUACUCGACGAUCGCGUUUCUGCUGGUUGUCUUCUACCUGCCGGACUACAUUGAGCGGCACAGCAUCCGGCUGCCUAUCCGCUACCUUGUGGCAGCGUGGAACCUGUUUCUCUCGGUCGUCUCCACCUAUGGCACGAUACAGGUCACCAUGCAAAUUCCGUACCUGCUGCGCACGCGCACCUUACACAACACCAUGUGCGAGCUGCCCAUCGCGGACGGUCGUGAUAACAACCUUGUGUCGCGUCGCGCCGCCAUUGUUUAUGCGCACCAGCAGGGGCUCAUGAAGCGCGGUGUCGUCUUUAAGUGGCAACGCACGCCGGCUGACAUUCAGCAACGCGAUGCAGAGCUCUUCUACGACGGCCCCUCCACGUUCGCUGUUGCGAUGUUCGGCUACCUCAAGACACCCGAGCUGCUCGACACGCUCUUCCUCGUGCUGCAGCGCAAGCCCGUCUCCUUUCUGCACUGGUACCACCACAUCGCCACCGCCAUCUACGUGUGGCUGUCGUCGUACAUGCCAAUGCCGAGCGGCAUCGUCUUCUGCGCCAUGAACUACUUCGUGCACUCCUUCAUGUACUUCUACUACUUCCUCGUCAUGAUGGGGCUGCGCAAGUCGAUUCGCCCCUUCGCGCCGGUGAUCACGCUGCUGCAGGUGCUGCAGAUGUUCAUUGGCAUGUACAUCACCGUGUACACGUACUUCCAGUACUGGCUGGGCCCCGAGUACAGCAACACGCUCUUCUUCAAGCUCUUCGAGGUGGUGCUCAGCAACGCCUACCACGCGUACUGCAACGCGAAGAGCGUCGUGACGACUGGCGCGCUGGCGUCGCAGGUGCCCGCGUUCGACAUGUCUGACCGGUUCUGGGGCUGUGACAGCGACCCAACAUGUAUGCGCAUGGGCAUGCUGAUGUAUGGCAGCUACUGCGUGCUGUUCGCGGUGCUGUUCAAGGAGCUGUACCUGGACAAGCGCGUACACGAGAACAGCCUCGUGCUGGCGCGCGCGCACUGCUCAAGCGAUCAAGCGAACUGAGGCGGUCAAGAAAGAGGCCUAGUGGACAGAUACGAGGAAAGCCGGCUCGCAUUUUUUUGUUUGCAGGUGAGGCUCGGCGUAUUAUGUGUGCAUGCGUUGCAUGUCCGGAGAGUUGGUGGUUGCUAACUGGCUGCUAAGGGGCACCCUUAAGGUUUUGUUGUGUUGUUCUUGCUGCAGAACGUAGGAGGGCUUCUUGGAAACUUCAGGGUCAUCCCUGUCUGUAGCUGCUCAUCACGGGGCAAGGACGGCGCAGCGCCUCCCACAUAUGCACGCGGACAGACGCCUAACCGCAAAGACGAACGCACGGAAACUUGCGUGCAGGGUAGCUUGGCUGUUGCAUACAUCUUUACGUGGUUUUGCGGUGGUUGAUUUUUUGUUGUUUGUGUUGUGUGCCUUCUUAUAUUGUUUCGUUCGUGCGUGUAUGUGCAUGCGUAGAUGUAUGAAUAUAUAUGUGUGUUUAUGUGUGGUGCUUAUUUUUUCCCCUGAAGGCUCAUGUCGCACCAGCAGCCUGUCUGGCGCUCGUUUCGCGAUUUUUCUUCGCCUAUUCUCUUCUUUUUGUAGUUUCUUUUUUUUGUAAGUAUUAUAUAUGUAGUCUGCCGUUUUCAUUGCUGUUGUUGAGGUGAGAGGUGGUACUCUGCGUUGAUCUGCUUGAUCAAUCCCAGCACAUCGCGCUCCGCAGAAACGAAACGCGGGCUCUUCUUUCUUGAAUGAACAUGAGGGGCCUCUGUUAGGAUCCUCUGUUUUUUUUCCCCCUCAGCUGUGGACGGUCCCUCUCUCACUCUUUGAUAUUACGCGACGCGCUAAAAGCUCCGAGCGUCUGUGUGUGGAUGUGGGUGUCGGUAUCCGUGUGUGGAUACGAUGGUGCCUGUUCCUCGUCGUUAUCAUGUCGGUUGGUUUUGCUUUUCGUCUUCCGGCCGCUCCCCCAUGCUGGCAGUGGGCUCAUGUGCACAUCGCUUCCCCUCCUCUGUUUCUCUAUCUUGGAGUUGCUGUCGCUUGAAGGCCUAUUGCUUCCUUCGUUGCUGAGCAUUCAUGUCUGUGCGUUGCUGCUCGCCUUUCAGGUGUUUCGUUCUGGCAUCGAGCCUAUCCGACAGGCACCAGCGCACACCCACAAACAUGUGCAUGAAGGCAGAGCUCUCGGACAGCAACCAUAGUUGGUGCAGAUUAUAUUUCUUUUUCUGCUAACGCUUGUGACCUAUCCUGUCGAUUCCAUGUGUAUAAUAUGUCAUCCUGCUUCGCUCAGCUUCUUUUUGUAGCUCUGCAUGUGUCUCUGCCAGGCGCACCCCUCGCUGUCCUCGGCACGCGAUUCUCUCCCUCACUUACCCCUCCACGCUAUGGGUGCUUCCUAUUUGUUGGUGUUGAUUAUUUUUUCGAUCCUUCUAUACGCUUCUCCAUCCGCAUCUGUGCUUACGUGGCUCAUGUUUAUCUGAGUACCGUUGCUCGUGUUUUCUUCUUUACUUGCUUGUGUCUCCCGCGUCGCGUCUGCGGUACCCGCCCUACUCUCCGCCUGUACGGCACCCUCGGGUCAUCACUGCACGUUUCAAGCCCUUUGCCGGGUCGGUUUCUUUCCCCCACCUGACCCCACACACACACACUUAACCACGCACACCUUCCCUGUCAUCGGGCAGUGGCAGUAAUACGCCGUACCUGAGUGGCUCUGCAGCCUAGGGGAGGGGAGGGUGAUGGGUAUCAUCCACAGCAGCGCUCGCAUCCUUCACUUUUAUUUUUGCUUUCUCUCUGUAGAAACCCCCUCCUGCCCCUUAAGCAAGCGACUGCAUCCACAGGCAGCUUACGUGCGGAGUCGCGAGGGCUGCUUUGCUUGCUGGUUUUCAGUUUCCGUUUGGUAUACCCUCUUGUGUGCUCGCUGGUCUUCUCCGGCUUCUCUUCGUGUAUACGUUCACGUGUCAGUGUGUGGAUGUGCAGGAGGAAUGCACGCUCGUGUGUGUGUGUGUGUGUGUGUGUAUGUGCGUUGGUGUUGCGUCACGAAUCGCGUGCAUGGGACGUAUGUAGCGCACCUUCAGACCCCCACUCGCCUCUGCGUGGAAUGGUGCGUCAGUCGGACACAAAAAAAAAGAAAGCAAAAGCAACCCAUGAACGGCGUCCCACCAUCAUCUUUUCGGUGAUGCAGUCGUACUGCGCAUGCCGUCCGCACCGACUGAACUUGCAGCAGCGGAGAUGCACACCAACACACAAGAGGCAAGCACAGCGAAAGAGAGAGAGAGGGGGGCGCAGAGACUGCGCGACGGAAUUUUUUUUUCCUUUCAGCGUGCCCGCUCUGCCAUGAGCAUGACAGCAAAGAUUGCGGAUGCACAGCCGUAGUUCGCCCUGGCCCGGCUGCACUGCGGCUACGCCAAGGCACCAGGCCAAUCAGCGCUGUGGGGCGUCGUUGAGCUCAUUGCCAUUCCACCGCAUGCAGCGCAGGCUCAGUCCAGGAUCGCGCCCGGCAUCAUCGCUGCAACGCAGCGAACGCAGAAACGCCGCUGGGGAAAGCAUGCCCAUGACCGCACGUCUCCUUCGGCACAGCGCCAGUCCAGGCCUGUCCGCCGGGCACUGAGACUCCGCCAGCCGUGCCCGAGGGGUAGGCUGCAGGCUACCUGGCUUGCCCCAUAGCGAGUGGGAAGAUGAGGGGAGGGCACUGGGCCGCGUGAUAUUGCGGGGUGAGGUGGCCGGCAUCAUCAAGAGUGCCGCUUCUGUAAUACGAAUAAAGAAGUGGUAUUCGCGUCUGUGCGAACGGGCAUGUUUGUGCGUGUGUGUGUGUGUGUGUGUCUCUGUUUCGAUGGCAACCCCAUGAAAAGGUCGACUUGUGUUCAUGGCUACGUGUUUAGGUCUUGUGGACGACGGCCCCCGCUCGCAGUGCCCUUGCGUGCACGACAUUGCAACACAUAAGCGCGCAGGUGCUCACCUGCGCAUUAAGUUUUUAACUGUUACUACUUGUGCUCUUUUUUACUUUGAUGUUUGUGGGUGUACGCCUCUGUGGAGCUCGGCGCGUUCCCCAUGAAUUUCGACUCCGCCUGUCUGGGCACCUCUCGGGUGUAACACCGUGUCACAGGUACCCGUUUUCGCUUUAUAUGUAUGUAUGCGUACCUUGAGGCUUGU